GACGUAGGGCGCGAGCGUUGUCCGGAUUUAUUGGGCGUAAAGAGCUCGUAGGCGGCUUGUCGCGUCGACUGUGAAAACUCGGGGCUCAACUCCGAGCUUGCAGUCGAUACGGGCAGGCUAGAGUUCGGUAGGGGAGACUGGAAUUCCUGGUGUAGCGGUGAAAUGCGUAGAUAUCUGGAGGAACACCGGUGGCGAAGGCGGCAUCCUGGACCGAGAUUGACGCUGAUGCGCGAAAGCCAGGGGAGCAAACGGG
rnacentral:rRNA from 1 species